UAUUAUUUUUAAACCAAACAAAAUCAGAAUAUUUCUUUGAAGUCAGCAGAUAUAAAGGCUUUAGUGUUUCGGAAAAUUUUGGGACGAACUGCCGAAAAUAGGAUGCUAAGCCUAUAAAUUGCCUUAAUUGUGACACAGUUUGUGGAAUCGAUCUAACGCUUCGUCUUUGGAUUGGGCUAUAAUUAACACAUCAUCAAAGUAAACGAUUGCAUAUGUGUAUGCUAAAGUACCUAAUACUUUCAUUAUGGCCCGUUGAAAUAUAGAAGGGGCGUUUUUCAGACCAAAGGGCAUGGUCAAAAACUCAUACUGUCCUUCUGGGAUAACGAAAGCAGUACGCUCAAUUGAGUUUGGAUGUACCGGAAAUUGGUAGAUGCCACUUGCCAUAUCUACGCACAAAAAAUAUUUUGCUCCACGUAGCCUAGCUAUCUGGUCUGAAAUUAGAGUCAGCGCUCUACGAUCAGACCUUACUCAGCAGCAGAGUCUCUCUCUUUCAUCCUGCUACCAUGCCCUACACGCAUUCGUAAAAACUCCGUUACUUAGGUUGCGUCUAUGUCUCGCCACCCAAAAAUGCACACACAUGUACAGUGGUCUGCAACUAGCAAAAAGUGACUCUACGACAUAUAUAUGUGAAAUGGUAUAGAGGCAUAUGCAUCUAGGAGUGACACCGAUUGGCAGGACUGACAGCAACGAAGAGAAGAGCAAGAGCAGCAAAUAGAGGCAGUCGUCAAGUAGCGUCGUCGUGAGUCGCACGUACAUACUAUAUAGUUGAAUUGAUCCAUAGUCAUACCGUCGUGUUGUAAUAUUCGAUAAAGUUGUUGUUAAACGAGCUGCCUUUAAUAGUUGUCAAACAUUUGUUGCUUAUACAUACCAAUUACCAUAACUUGUUAGCAUAUAAUAUUAAUAAACUGAUUGGAAUACAUAUCCUAUCUUACAUUUGGGGGCUCGUCCAUGCUAGCAGACGAUUGGUAUUUGUGCGUGUUAAAAAGACAAAAGGUGCUUAAAAGUGGUGUCAAAAUAAGUUGCAUAAGUGACGUUGCUUAAGAGUAGAGUACAGUAGAGUCAAAAGCACUGGCCUUGAAAAGUUAAUGGGUAGAGCAAGCGCUGCAGUACAAGCAGUCACAAAACCCGUUAGGAAUUCGAAAGACGCACGAAUUGCUGGCGCCAAGGUACAGACGAGUAGCACGGUGGUUAGAGUGGGACCAUCAUACAACACACGAGCAACAAAGAGCAGUACAGAUAUAAAACUAGCGAAACGGGAGCUAAUGCAAGCACCAAGAACAUCAGUCUAGAUGUGCGAAGAUAAGAAGAAGAGAAGCCCGACAAUGCAGAAAAAAUUAUGCAAAACAAUCAAAUGUUGCAACAAGUAAUUCAAUUACUAUCGCUAAAAAUACAAGCUGAUGAAAUUAAACAAAAUGAGCCGAAAAUUAGUGCGGAUAACUUUACAACAAUAAUACUAGACUUUGACGGUAGUAGCAUUCCCGUAAAGCAUUGAUUUAACAAUUUCGAAAUAAAUGCACAGGCUUAUGGUUUAAGUGAUGCACAAAAAUAUGUUUUAGCGCGUUCAAAAAUAACACAAACGGCCAAACUUGUACUGGAGUCUGCAGUAAUUUAUAAUUAUAAGGAGUUGCGCGCCAUAUUGGAAGAGGAGUUUGAUCGAGAAUCAGUGUGGAGCGCCGAUAUUCAUGCUGAGUUGCAUGGACGUAAAAAACAAAAAGAAGAGACAUUCAAGGAAUAUAUUUUGCAAGUGAAAAAAAUUGCUUAGCUCAGGAAAGUGGACACUACAUCAGUGAUUCGAUAUGUAAUUGAUGGGCUUAAUUUGAAAAGCGAUUUUAAAUACAACCUGUAUAACUGUAAAACAUACAAAGAGUUGGAAAGCCAGUAUGAAAUAUAUGAACGAGUAGCAGAUGUAGAAAAGUCGUAUGAAGUCGAAAAAAAAAACAAGUGUAAAUGCAGAAAACAUUCGAAAAAAGAGAGGUUGCUUUAAUUGUGGGUCGCCCGAUCAUAUGCGCAAAGAUUGCACAAAUCAGAUGAAAUGUUUUCGUUGCAAGCAGAGCGGACACAUUUCGACAAAUUGUCCUAUGGUAAACGCCGCAAUAAACGUUGUUAACAGCAGUAAGCGCAUGAAAAAAGUUAAAUUUAACGAACUGGAAGUGGAGUGUUUGGUCGACACUGGAGCAGAUCUUACCAUCAUGAAGAAAAACAUCUUUAGCAAAAUCAGCGGUGCAGAGUUGAAGAAUUUUGGCAGACAGUUACGUGGCUUGGGCAACAAGGUGACUCACCCACUGGGCUAUUUCUUCGCGGACGUGGAGGUAGAUGGCUUGCGUACCUCACUUCAAAUUGUUGUCGUGUCAGACAGAGACGUAAAAAAACAAAAACUGAAGAAGUUAUUGAGUUAAGUAUUUUUCAAGUUGUACAAACACAUACUGAUAUAGAUGUACCCCCACAGCACAAAUGUGAAGUUCAGGCGCUGAUUAACGAUUAUAAGCCGGCUAAGGACGUUCUGGAGUGCCCAGUUCAACUUAAAAUUGUACCAGAUGGCGAAAUUGUUCCUUUUCGGCAGAUAAACCAAUGGCUACGUGAAGGUAUAAUUCGAGAGUCUUCAUCAAACUUCGCAAGUCGCCUGGUGUUGGUGAACAAAAAGGAUGGCACACGUCGUAUUUGCGUCGAUUUUCGUAAAUUGAACUCCAUGGUCCUGAAGGAUUAUGUAAAUUUUAUAAACGAAACGAAAUAAAUGCAGCUAUCAAUUUACGUUAAA